GAUCCUGGCUCAGAUUGAACGCUGGCGGCAUGCCUUACACAUGCAAGUCGAACGGUAACGCGGGGCAACCUGGCGACGAGUGGCGAACGGGUGAGUAAUAUAUCGGAACGUGCCCAAUAGUGGGGGAUAGCCCGGCGAAAGCCGGAUUAAUACCGCAUACGACCUGAGGGUGAAAGCGGGGGAUCGCAAGACCUCGCGCUAUUGGAGCGGCCGAUAUCAGAUUAGCUAGUUGGUGAGGUAAAGGCUUACCAAGGCGACGAUCCGUAGCUGGUCUGAGAGGAUGAUCAGCCACACUGGGACUGAGACACGGCCCAGACUCCUACGGGAGGCAGCAGUGGGGAAUUUUGGACAAUGGGGGCAACCCUGAUCCAGCCAUGCCGCGUGCAGGAUGAAGGCCUUCGGGUUGUAAACUGCUUUUGUACGGAACGAAACGGUGAGCUCUAAUACAGUUUGCUAAUGACGGUACCGUAAGAAUAAGCACCGGCUAACUACGUG
rnacentral:rRNA from 1 species